UACGUAGGGUGCGAGCGUUGUCCGGAAUUACUGGGCGUAAAGAGCUCGUAGGUGGUUUGUCGCGUUGUCCGUGAAAUUCCCUGGCUUAACUGGGGGCGUGCGGGCGAUACGGGCAGACUGGAGUACUGCAGGGGAGACUGGAAUUCCUGGUGUAGCAGUGAAAUGCGUAGAUAUCAAGUGGAACACCAGUGGCGAAGGCGAGUCUCUGGACAUUUCCUGACGCUGAGGCACGAAAGCCAGGGGAGCAAACGGG
rnacentral:rRNA from 1 species